rnacentral:rRNA from 1 species
ACGAAGCUGACGGAUUCACGCCGCGUGAGUGAUGAAUGUUCGGAUCGUAAACUCUGUUGUAGGGAAGAACAGUGCAUAGUAACUGAUUGGACUUGACGGUUACUAAACAGAAAGGCACGGGUAACUUACGUGCCAGGAAACGCGGUAAUACGUAGGUGGCAAGCGUUGUCCGGAAUUAUUGGGCGUAAAGCGCUCGCAAGCGGUUCUUUAAGUCUGAUGUGAAAUCUUACGGCUCAACCGUAAACGUGCAUUGGAAACUGGGGAACUUGAGUGCAGAAGAGGAGAGUGGAAUUCCACGUGUAUCGGUGAAAUGCGUAGAGAUGUGGAGGAACACCAGUGGCGAAGUGCGACUCUCUGGUCUGUAACUGACGCUGAGGAGCGAAAGCGUGGGGAGCGAACAGGAUUAGAUACCCUGGUAGUCCACGCCGUAAACGAUGAGUGCUAGGUGUAAGGGGGUUUCCAGCCCUUAGUGCUGAAGUUAACGCUUUAAGCACUCCGCCUGUGGAGUCGAACUGCAUGUUGAAACUUCAAGGAAUUGUCGGGGUGCCCGAACAGCGGUGGGACCUGUGGGUUACUUCGAAGCCAGCGAAGAACCUUACAGGUCUUGACAUCCUUCUGGUACUUCU